UAUUCUAUUAGGCGGCAGUCCGUUCGUUUUGGAAUUAAAGAUUUAUCGGUAACGGAUGAGGAUGCGUACGAUUAGCUGGUUGGCGGGUAACGGCCCACCUAGUCGACGAUGGUUAGGGGUUCUGAGAGGAAGGUCCCCCACACUGGAACUGAGACACGGUCCAGACUCCUACGGGAGGCAGCAGUGAGGAAUAUUGGUCAAUGGCCGUAAGGCUGAACCAGCCAAGUAGCGUGAAGGAUGAAGGUUCUAUGGAUUGUAAACUUCUUUUAUACGGGAAUAACACCAUCUACGUGUAGAUGUCUGCAUGUACCGUAUGAAUAAGCAUCGGCUAACUCCGUG
rnacentral:rRNA from 1 species